GAUGAACGCUGGCGGCGUGCCUAAUACAUGCAAGUCGAACGGACGGACGAGAAGCUUGCUUCGCUGAUGUGAGCGGAGGGCGGGUGAGUAACGCGUGGAUAACCUACCUAUAAGACUGAGAUCACUUCGGGAAACCGGAGCUAAUCCCGUAGAAUAUUUUGAACCGCAGGGUGCAAAGGUGAAAGACGGUCUUGGGGGCACUUAUAGCUGCUUCCGCGCUUCAUUAGCUGGUUGGUAAGGUAACGGCCUACCACGGGAACGAUGCAUGGCCGACCGGAGAGGGUGAUCGGCCACAUGGGAGCUGAGACAGGGACAAGAGUACUAAGGUAGGGCGCAGUAGGCAAUCGUAGGCAAUGGGGGAAAGUAUUACGGAGCGACCCCGCGCGAGUGACGAAGGCCUCCGGAGCGUAAAACUCGGUUAUGAGUGAAGAACAGAUGUGUAAGGAACUGUGCACAUCUUGACGGUAAUUAAUCAGAAAGCACCGGCUAACUACGUG
rnacentral:rRNA from 1 species